AUUUGCAUGCGGUAGGAGCUGGUGGUAAAACAACACGGCCUUUUGAAGGGAGAAGAGCUCUUUGAACCUCCAGCAAGAGGGGAUACCGUUAUUUGCCUGAGAAAAAUCCUGUUCUCUAAGCAAGCCAGAGGAGGAUCGGUUGGACGCAGAGCCACUUCGGGGAGACUGAGCGGUUGUCAGGACAAGAUCCCGGCUGCCAUCAUGAACCUGUGCUAAGUCUUGGCGUUCGGAAAGCCCCGGGAGACCAGGAAGGACCUGCCCACAGGUACUAUGUGCCAAUACUCAGAAAAAUGCAAUUUCUGUGUCUGUAACCGUCCCCGAGGUUGGCCCCGCUCUGGCUGGUUUGCGCAUCAGGAUUUGCAAUGGGCCCGAAGAUGUGGGGGCCUGCCGCCUCUCCUCACCAGCCUCCAGGAAGUCUUGUCCCGGGAGACCGUCCAGCGGUGCUGGUCUGUGCCGUGAUUCCCACUCCCCUGACAAAGCGGCUCUGCUCCCUGGCCGGACAUGGCACCUUCUCUUUUGUGUGUGGAAUGUUCCAGAGCUCUCACAUGGCCCUGGCUUCCUGUAAGUCCCUGAGCAGCCUCUGGAGCUGUGUGCAGAGAUGUCCCCUCCGAGACGUUCCCAUGGUGAGAUGCACACUGGCGAGCCUCCUGGAUCCAGACGUGUCCCUCUGAGGUGGCCCAAGACGUCCUUCGUCACGCGGCUAAUGUCGACCUGCUGGGCCUGGACUCUCUGUGGCGAUUUGGGGGGGCCUGGGUUUUUCUGGGGAACUGUUUUGUGAGACUAAGUCUUCUUACCUCCUUCUGAAAUAUUGUUCUGGAGUUCCUAAUUUUCCUCAUCCGGGACUGUGUGACCACCUGCCAUGCUCGGUCUGGGAUCCCUGCCCUUGGACACCUUGUCCUCGCUGCUCUGUUCCCCUGAAGCCCAAGGUCCCCCGCUGUAGACGCACUUCCUAUAUCCAGGGCUCAGUGUUGUUGGCUCACGGAGCCACUGGGGCUGUGGUCAUGGGUUUGGUUAUUUUUUUUAUUUUUUAAUUUUUGUUUAAUGUUUAUUUAUUUUUGAGAGACAGAGACAGAGUGU